rnacentral:rRNA from 1 species
AACGAACGCUGGCGGCAGGCUUAACACAUGCAAGUCGAACGCCCCCGCAAGGGGGAGUGGCAGACGGGUGAGUAACACGUGGGAACGUGCCCUAAGGUUUGGAAUAUUCUCGGGAAACUGGGAGCAAUACCAAAUGUGACCGCAAGGUGAAAGAUUUAUCGCCUUAGGAUCGGCCCGCGUCAGAUUAGGUAGUUGGUGGGGUAAUGGCCUACCAAGCCGACGAUCUGUAGCUGGUCUGAGAGGACGACCAGCCACACUGGGACUGAGACACGGCCCAGACUCCUACGGGAGGCAGCAGUGGGGAAUCUUGGACAAUGGGCGCAAGCCUGAUCCAGCCAUGCCGCGUGAGUGAUGAAGGCCCUAGGGUUGUAAAACUCUUUCGUGGGGGACGGAUAAUGACGGUACCCAAGAAGAAGCUCCGGCUAACUUCGUG